rnacentral:rRNA from 1 species
UACGGAGGAUCCGAGCGUUAUCCGGAUUUAUUGGGUUUAAAGGGAGCGUAGGCGGGUUGUUAAGUCAGUUGUGAAAGUUUGCGGCUCAACCGUAAAAUUGCAGUUGAUACUGGCAUCCUUGAGUACAGUAGAGGUAGGCGGAAUUCGUGGUGUAGCGGUGAAAUGCCUAGAUAUCACGAAGAACUCCGAUUGCGAAGGCAGCCUGCUGGACUGUAACUGACGCUGAUGCUCGAAAGUGUGGGUAUCAAACAGG